rnacentral:rRNA from 1 species
UAGGGAAUAUUGGACAAUGGGCGAAAGCCUGAUCCAGCCAUGCCGCGUGAGUGAUGAAGGCCUUAGGGUUGUAAAGCUCUUUCGCCAGGGAAGCGGUACCUGGAUAAGAAGCCCCGGCUAACUUCGUGCCAGCAGCCGCGGUAAUACGAAGGGGGCUAGCGUUGUUCGGAAUCACUGGGCGUAAAGCGUAUGCAGGCGGAUCGUUAAGUCGGGGUGAAAUCCCGAGGCUCAACCUCGGAACUGCCUUCGAUACUGGCGAUCUCGAGUCCGGGAGAGGUGAGUGGAACUGCGAGUGUAGAGGUGAAAUUCGUAGAUAUUCGCAAGAACACCAGUGGCGAAGGCGGCUCACUGGCCCGGUACUGACGUGUAGAUACGAAAGCGUAGGGAGCAAACAGGAUUAGAUACCCCAGUAGU